AGCGAACGCUGGCGGCAGGCUUAACACAUGCAAGUCGAGCGCUCGUAGCAAUACGAGAGCGGCAGACGGGAGAGUAACACGUGGGAGCGUACCCUUCGGUUCGGAAUAACCCAGGGAAACUUGGGCUAAUACCGGAUACGUCCGUAAGGAGAAAGAUUUAUCGCCGGAGGAUCGGCCCGCGUCCGAUUAGCUAGUUGGUGAGGUAAUGGCUCACCAAGGCGACGAUCGGUAGCUGGUCUGAGAGGAUGAUCAGCCUCACUGGGACUGAGACACGGCCCAGACUCCUACGGGAGGCAGCAGUGGGGAAUAUUGGACAAUGGGCGCAAGCCUGAUCCAGCCAUGCCGCGUGGGUGAUGAAGGCCUUAGGGUUGUAAAGCCCUUUCGGCGGGGAAGAUAAUGACGGUACCCGCAGAAGAAGCCCCGGCUAACUUCGUGCCAGCCGCCGCCGUAA
rnacentral:rRNA from 1 species